ACCCCACCCCCGCCCGCAGGUCCCGCGUGCGGGUGUCGGUGACCCGCGCGCGGGCUCACUGGUUCACAGCCGUGUGAGCCGGGGGCGAGGGGCGCGCCCUGCCCUGCCCUCCCCGCCCUGCGGAGCUCAACCGGGUUCUCGGCAGCGCGCGGGACUAAGGACCGGAUCCGUGCGCCGAUUUCUUCGGGACACGGUCCAGGACGCUGGGCACUUCCGGACAGGACCUUCUCCAGCCUUGGGACUUCAGGGCCGGACAGAUUUUGCAGAGCCACGCUAGGGAGAAGAAGAAAAUGUGCUUCCCAAUCCCUGACCCCUCUCCACUCCUUGGGCAGAUUUCCCAGAGCCACUCUGGGGUUCUUGGCCAGUGACAGGAGGAGCAGGCAUCCGGGUGACAGCCCCAGACACCCCAGCAACCAGUGACAGCCCCAGACACCCCAGCAACCGGGUGACAGCCCCAGACUUCCCACCAUCCAAGUGGCAGCCCGAGACACCCCAGCAUCCAGGUGACAGUCCCAGCCCUCCUAGCAACCAGAUAACUGUCCCAGACACCCUAGCAACCAGGUGACAGUUCCCGGCAUCGCAGGAACUGGGUGACAGCCCCAGACAUCCCGGCAUCCGGUGAGAGUCCCAGGCAUGCCAGCGUCUGGGGGACAACCUGAGGCAGUGUAAAAUCCACAUGGACAGCAGGGGAAAGUCUGGCCUCAUUGGGUCUUCCUGCCCCACGUCCCCAGUACAGACUAAUUUCUAUGCAUAAUGAACCCUUGUUCUCUUUGACCGCACCUUUUCAAGUGAUUCCAGGAGAGUAGCCACAUUCCAAAAUUUAUGAUAUGUGGAAGUAAAGCAAGGUGAACAUCAAGGUGAGUCAACACCUUUGCCUUCUCUUGGUUUAUUAGGUCACUCGGAGCGGAAGGAUCUCGGGGCCUCCAGCACGGAGGGUUCCUCCAAUCCAGCCCAGGCAGGCUGUGAAACCCCCAGGUCAUCAAGCUGACCCAUCUUCCAGUCCUAGCUCCCGCCAGUUGUGGGACCUCGGCCACUCACUCUGGCCUCCAUCAGUAGAAGGAAGCCAGGACCCCACUCCCAGCCAGCACUGGGUGUCACAGGGGCUAACAGGGGCUCUGGACAGCUGGGACAACUGAGCCACACGUACCAGGAGGCCUCCUCCUGCCUUCUUGCCACUUUUGGGUGUGCUAUUUGCUAUUGAAUGCCUGUACUGGCCGGAACGGUGAGGUCCCCAAAAGGCCAUGUCCACCCAGAACCUCAGGAUGGGACUUUUUUUGCAAAUAGUGUCUUUGCAGAUACACUUUAGGUAAGAAUCAAAUUGACAGUGUCCCUUGUAGCAGGAAGGCACAAGCAGAGACUUGGGACGGGGGACACCACGGAAGACAGAGGCAUAGGGAGGAAGGACCCUCCCUUUGAGCCUGUGGAGGGAGCACAGGCCUGCGGCCUCUUGCCUGCGGCUGUCCGACUGCAGAAGAACACUUCUGUCGUGUGAAACCCCAGCCGGCGGUCGUUUGAUACGGCUGCCCCCAGCUGCCACCUGGACGCUUCUGCAGCGCCGUGUGAUUCAGCCCCAAGGACGGUGAAUCACAGUCCUGCAGGACCAGACCCCGCUAAGGAUGUGGGCCCCUCCAAGAGGAAUGAAGCCCAGCUCCUCCACUUUAAGGAACAGACGGCCUGCACUCCCGUCUCCAGAGCAGAUAGCCCACGCGCCUGCAGGAGCUUUCUCUUGGCCUACUGUCCUCUUCCUGGGAAGCAGCCGGGAGCCUCCCAGAGGCAAGAGUGGACGCUGACCUGCCUGCCCCUCCCAGCACAGUCCCUCGGCGCUGGCCAUGAGGCUGUGGUUCUCUUAGCCCGCUGCUGCCUCCCUCCCACCUUGGGCUCCUUCCCUAAAACAGCCUCCAGCUCUGAGGGAGCUGGUCUCUCUCCUUCUGUCUGCAAAAGGUGACCCCUGGCUUCAAGUGGGAUUUGAACAUUUCUCCACCGCCUUCAAAGUGGGGGGCCUGAGGAUCCAUGGGAGGGGGCUGGAGGGCCGGCGUGGGAUGCCGCCCAGUCACCGUGGGCCCAGGGCCGUGCCGUUGGUGUGUGUGGGAACCACGCCCUGGCCUGUCAGUUGCCCAGACUGUCCGUCCCGGACGAAAGCCCGAAGAUCCGCUGGGUGUUUCUGAGAAGCACAAGCAGGGCUAACGUGCAGGAACUGGAUUUCUUCCCAGCGCCAUCCCAGGCAAGGCUUUAUUGCCCAGCUUGACGGCUCAAGACGCAGGACACACCCAGACUCAAGUCCAGGUUUUUAGGACCCGGAGCAAUCUUGCUAAAGUCCUUUAACAUAACAAAUUGCGUCUUCAGAGUGACAUCCCAGAAAAUUGCAUUCUUCCCCCCACCCCCGAAAGAACCAAGCAGCAAAGGCUUUUGCUCUAGGUGCCCCUGGCUUGGGGGCCAGGAGCUCCUACCUCGUUGACUCGGAGAUGGUGGGCGUAGCAGGUGCUCGGUAAGCACUAGCAGGUGGCGUUCGGGUCCUCAGGUGGAAUGCUUCUUCUAGCUCACCCCACCCCUACGCCGUGAAGCCGCCUGCCCCCGGGCUGCUCCCCCAAGAGCAGUUUCCUCGUCACAAAGGUGAGGACCAGGGAAGGGACCCUGCCUGCACAGGUGUGUCACCUGGGGACAGAUAACCACCGCCGGUGCUGGGCCGGGGAGGAGCCCUGAGCGCUGAGGGGCCACGUGGGCGGCAAGUGCAAGGUUGCGGGUGGAGGUUAGGUCCCCAUGGAGCAGGGCCGUUCAUGGAAACCAUUUCGUCUCUGACAGAUUUGGGGAUUCAUGUGUCCAAGAAAACCCUCAGGCGGGCGGAGGAGAGACAAGGCCCCGCGUCAGCGGCGUCUGGCGGACAGCGGGUGUGAGGAAGGAGAAAGGCCGUCUGAGGCCCCGGCUGAGCAAGGCUGACCCGAGGCCACAGGAGCAGGGGUGGGGGGGUGGGGCCUGAUCUUGGAAGAAGACGUCUUUGUGCCUCUGAAGGGGGCAGGUGUGGUCCUUUAUAUUCCCUCCCCGAGACAGCAGGCUGACGCAGUCUCUGUUAGGGGUCGUGUCCCCCAAAAAAGACGUCUUGGAGUCCUUAUCCCUGGUUCCUGUGAAUGUGACUCUAUCUGGAAGUAGAGUCUUUGCAGGUCUCAUGGGCAGAGACAAGGUCACCAGGGUGGUCCCAGUCCACGGACUGGUGCCCUUCCGGAAGAGGAGACAAGGCCACGGUCACGUGACGACAGAGGCGAGGAGCCCCGAGAGCUGGAAGGACCUCCCGUCGAGCCUCCAGAGGGAGACAGACCCUGCACCACCUUGACCCUGGGCUCGUGGCUCCAGAGCUGAGAGAGAACAGCUUUCUGCUAUUUUAAGCAGCCCCCGCCCCACAAUUCUCCCUUGUUGGUGCCUAGCCGAUUCCGUGGCUUGCCCAUGGAAGCCUUCCCAAAGCCAUCUUCCCUCUGGUGGACCAGACAGGUUUAGGGCAGGAGCUGCUGCGGAGGUCGGAGGGAGCAGAUUCUCGUCUUGGCUCUCAGCCCCAGCUUGCCAUGUCCCCCCUCCCUUCGCAAAAUGGAGGUAGAAGUAUCUGCUUCAAAAGGUGGCUGGGGAAUGACAGGAGAUCUCGCUCAGCAGGGCGUCAAGAAGUGGGGGCUGGUGGCCCUCUAGGAGCAUCUUCCUCCUGUGUCCUGAUGAAGGUAAGGGUCCCACACCAGGCUUGGAGCUGGAAACAGUGGAGACGGCCAGCGGGAGAAGACUGCCACGUCGCUUGGACUCUGAACGAGCUCUUGAUGCUGAAUGAGUCCCCUGACCUUAGGGUGCGUGGUGUGUGUGUGUGUGUGUGUGUGUGUGCGCGCACAGCACAGAAAAUCCCCAGGUUGGCCCAAGCCAUUUCCGUGUCACGGAACAAAAACAACAGGAUGUUAUCACACCUGCUGUCAUUUAUCCAGUGGGUUUGGUGCACAGGGACCAGAGUCUCAAGUCACUUUUAAAGGACAGGCAGCUAGCGAGUGCGGAGCUAGGCCUCAAGGCUGGGCGCAUUCUGUGCCUCCUGCCAAGCACGGCCAAGCUAAAGGUUUUGGCACCCAAAGCAGGAAAGGCAGAAAUGCCAGGGGACAAAGCACUUUCAUGCCUCAUUUAACCCUGUGACAUGCCUUUGAAAUCAAUAGAUCCUUAUCCUCACCUGGCAGAGGAGGCCGUCAGGCCUUGAGGAAAGAGAAUAGAUGCUGACAGAGUGGGACCUGAACAAAGGCUUCCUGGUCCCCAGUCCUGCUCCUCCUGUCCCCUCCAGGAUGGCACAGCUGGAGGCCAAUAAGGAAGGUCCUCGUGGAGUGUCCCUUCCACUCGGCUCAGGUGACCUGGUGUCAUGGAGCUCGCAGCCCUUGUGGGGACCUGCCGGAGGCCGGGUACUUUGUAUGGUUUCUCCUGGUUCUGCUUUCGCAGGUGAAGAGGCUGAGUUCCCUCCGCACACAGCCAGCAGCACGGACCCCUGUCCUGGCCACUGUGUGGCCCUAAUCCUGUCAGAGGUUUCCAGACCGAGUGGAAGCCUCACCAUCACGUGUGGACCACCGCACGUGUGUCGUGCUUGUGGGUGCCAUGUGUGUUUGACGUCUGCUUCCAGUCUUGUUUGAAGAAUUGUUUCUAUAGCUGGUGUUUCUUUAAACCACUGGUCCACAUGUCAUGUGUGUGGUUCUCCUCAUGCAUGGGCUCCUUGGCGCUGAGACUUUCUCUCUUCCGUGCAGGGACAGCAUGCCACACGGACAUCUGAACGGAGCCAUCAGAGCCGAGCCUGGUUACGAAAUGCACAAAGGCCGUGCCAGCACAUCCCAAGGGAAGCUCUAGAUGGACGCCUUGCAUAGACACUGGCUAAACGUUUGCUGAUGGUUGUUCCAACGUCCCAAAUAAGUUUUUGCAAUGCUUUGUCCGAAGGUCUCCCUUCUCUUCUGUAAAGAUGGUGGUACCACGCCAAUUUCUCCAAUUAGUACAGCAUCUUGUCUAUCAGAGAUGGUCUGUUUUGUGUAAUUAUGUUUCUAUCCUCAUGCUUGUAGAGAGGAAUUUUUCCCAAAGUAUUGUUAAUAUUUCCUUAUAACACACCGUGAGCCCCAGGAUGGGAAAGACUUGAUUUGGAAGAGAAUUUGGGGGUCACAUGAGGUUAACUUCUUAAUUAGCAGAUGAGAAAAGAGGCAAAGGAGCCAUUGGGGAUCCCCCAGCCGACCCACGUAC